UAAUUCAACUAGGGGAACCUGUCCUCUAACUCGAUAAUCCACGAAAACCUUACCUGUACUAGAAACAGGGGUAAUUCUUUACCCCACAUCAGCCUGUAUACCAUCGUCGUCAGCUAGUGUAUAAAAAAAUAAAAACCAGCAAAAAAGAAUUGCUUUCUUUCUAUAGUACCUUAAAACCUCUUAAGACAGAUCAAGGUGCAGCCUACGAACAGGGGCGAGAUGGGUUACAAUUUUCUAAAUUAAACUGGAUCUUUCUAUUGCAACUGGAAAAAGAAAUAGUACUUAGAAGUAAUUUUUUUAAAAAGUAAAAAAAUGAAUAGGAGAUAAAGCGCGU
rnacentral:rRNA from 1 species